UACGGAGGGUGCAAGCGUUGUUCGGAAUUACUGGGCGUAAAGCGCGUGUAGGCGGUCGGGCAAGUCGGAUGUGAAAGCCUUCCGCUUAACGGAAGAAGUGCAUUCGAAACUACCCGGCUGGAGUACGGGAGAGGAGAGUGGAAUUCCCGGUGUAGAGGUGAAAUUCGUAGAUAUCGGGAGGAACACCAGUGGCGAAGGCGGCUCUCUGGUCCGAUACUGACGCUGAGACGCGAAAGCGUGGGGAGCAAACAGG
rnacentral:rRNA from 1 species